rnacentral:rRNA from 1 species
GACGAACGCUGGCGGCGUGCUUAACACAUGCAAGUCGAACGCUGAAGCUCCAGCUUGCUGGGGUGGAUGAGUGGCGAACGGGUGAGUAACACGUGGGUGAUCUGCCCCGCACUUCGGGAUAAGCCUGGGAAACUGGGUCUAAUACCGGAUAGGACUGCAGCGUUGGUUGUGGUGGAAAGAUUUAUCGGUGUGGGAUGAGCUCGCGGCCUAUCAGCUGGUUGGUGGGGUAAUGGCCUACCAAGGCGUCGACGGGUAGCCGGCCUGAGAGGGUGGACGGCCACAUUGGGACUGAGAUACGGCCCAGACUCCUACGGGAGGCAGCAGUGGGGAAUCUUGCACAAUGGUUGAAAGCCUGAUGCAGCGACGCCGCGUGGGGGAUGACGGCCUGGGGGUUGUAAACUCCUUUCGCCAGGGACGAAGCCUUUA